GGAUCAGUAGGUUGGUCGUGCCACUGGUAUGUACUGGCCUCACUGGUUCCUCCUUCUUGUAGAACCGUAAUGCCAUUAAUUUGGUGUUGCGGGGAAACAGGACUGUUACUUUGAAAAAAUUAGAGUGUUCAAAGCAGGCCUUUGCUCGAAUAUGUUAGCAUGGAAUAAUAAAACAGGACG
rnacentral:rRNA from 1 species